UUCCGGUUGAUCCUGCCGGAGGACAUUGCUAUUGGGAUUCGAUUUAGCCAUGCUAGUCGAACGAGUUCAUACUCGUGGCAGAUAGCUCAGUAACACGUGGCCAAGCUACCCUUCAGUCGGCAAUACCCUCGGGAAACUGAGGUUAAUGGCCGAUGUGGGACGCCUGCUGGAAUGCGGCGUUCUCUAAAGAUUACGCUGAAGGAUGCGGCUGCGGCCGAUUAGGUUGACGGUGGGGUAACGGCCCACCGUGCCAGUAAUCGGUACGGGUGAUGAGAGUCAGAGCCCGGAGACGGAAUCUGAGACAAGAUUCCGGGCCCUACGGGGCGCAGCAGGCGCGAAACCUUUACACUGCACGAAAGUGCGAUAGGGGAAUCCCAAGUGCGAGGGCAUAUUAGCCCUCGCUUUUGUUGACUGUAAGGUGGUCAACGAAUAAGAGCUGGGCAAGACCGGUGCCAGCCGCCGCGGU
rnacentral:rRNA from 1 species